rnacentral:rRNA from 1 species
AUUGAACGCUGGCGGCAUGCCUUACACAUGCAAGUCGAACGGCAGCGGGGGAGAAGCUUGCUUUUCCUGCCGGCGAGUGGCGAACGGGUGAGUAAUACAUCGGAACGUGCCCUGUAGUGGGGGAUAACUAGUCGAAAGAUUAGCUAAUACCGCAUACGACCUGAGGGUGAAAGUGGGGGACCGCAAGGCCUCAUGCUAUAGGAGCGGCCGAUGUCUGAUUAGCUAGUUGGUGGGGUAAAGGCCUACCAAGGCGACGAUCAGUAGCUGGUCUGAGAGGACGAUCAGCCAAACUGGGACUGAGACACGGCCCAGACUCCUACGGGAGUCAGCAGUGGGGAAUUUUGGACAAUGGGCGAAAGCCUGAUCCAGCAAUGCCGCGUGUGUGAAGAAGGCCUUCGGGUUGUAAAGCACUUUUGUCCGGAAAGAAAUGGCUCUGGUUAAUACCUGGGGUCGAUGACGGUACCGGAAGAAUAAGGACCGGCUAACUACGUGCCAGCCGCCGCGGUAA